CACGUAGGGGACGAGCGUUGUCCGGAUUCAUUGGGCGUAAAGCGCGCGUAGGUGGCCCCCGUAAGUCCGCUGUGAAAAGUCAAAGGCUCAACCUUUGAAAGCCGGUGGAUACUGUGGGGCUAGAGUACGGAAGAGGCGAGUGGAAUUCCUGGUGUAGCGGUGGAAUGCGCAGAUAUCAGGAGGAACACCAAUAGCGAAGGCAGCUCGCUGGGACGUUACUGACACUGAGGCGCGAAAGCGUGGGGAGCGAACAGG
rnacentral:rRNA from 1 species